CCUAAAUUUGUGGAUCGACUUCACCUGAGAGUCCUGAUCGAGAAGGACAGAUCAUACGUCGCCGCUCCUCCCUUCCCCUCCUUGCGCCGUCCCUCUCCCCGCGCCUGCAAGGAUGGCCAUCUUCUCCCGCCGCCUCCUCCCUCCCUCCAGUGCCACCGCGCUGUGGCUUCCCCCUUCCUCCUAGCAUCGUUGACGCACCCCAUGCCAAGGUCCCAGCCGAACGGCGGCAACUAUUUUCGGCGUCAUUCCUCGCACGCCUGAGAGAACUGCUCGUCGCCGAGUCCGUCCCACUGCAAGCAUGGCAGCACUGCGAUCUACUCGCUCCUCCCUCGCCGUAGGCAGGCAGAUGGUCAGGAACCUUAAUCCCUAGGACUACUCCCGAACAAGCAUUCAGAUUCUUGAAGAUGUCUCCACACAUUCUAUUUCCAAUACAUAGAACAUUAGAACGCAAGCAUAUGCUUUCUGGAUGUCUCAGGUAAUGUGUCAAGCUUUUGGACUGCUAUGUUGCCUGAUAGUUCUAGCCAAUUGGGUUUUCAUGUGCUCGCUUGUGAGAUGAAUGAAUGGUAAAAGAUCAAAAGUUGUAUGAUUCUACUAAUCCUCCCUUAUAAAUCAUAGAUUUGUUUAAAUUUAGUUUGCAGCUUGAGGAUGAGGUAUGUGCUUUGAUUUUUGGACCUCUUGCAGCUUGAGGACGAGGUAUGUGCCCCUCCCCUGGUUACUUGCCAGUAACCAUGUCGGAUUCAUUACAAUUAUUAACCCAUUUGUAGGAAGAGAUAGAUCUGCUCUGGUGGUGGGAGACAAACAAUGCCUUUUGGUGCUAUUUUCUAAAUAAGAUAUAUGCAUGUCUUCACACCUCCAUUGCUGUUGCGCCCAUAACCCAAGCUCCGCUGCUGCCACAUUGUUGGUCCGCAAAGAGAACGCAAACGGUAUAGCUCUGAAAUCCACGACAGACAUUGCUCUCAUUCUGUUGCUAUUGUUGUGGAACGCCGAGGACGCAUGCACCACGGCCGCCGGUUCUCCCAAUCAGGGGGCGUGAAAUCUGCCAUCAGUAUGUUUUGUGUGUGAUUCGAAGUUUGGCAACCGGCAUGAUGCGAGAAAAAACAACAGUGGAUACCUCCCAUCAAUUGUUGAUAGUUGGUUUGUUACUUCAGACUCACGGGUGAAUCCACAGGUAAUGUUUGCACCAAUAAAACUGCAACCUUCAUUGCAGGACAACUUCUAACUGAAUCUCAUGGAUUUGUCUUCACAUAAUGUUCUCUUAGUCGGAUUGUGGCAUGCAGCAAGGUGAGCAACCAAUCAUCAUCGUGAGAUUUCUAUUCUGAAUGCUGAAGAAAGCUACUAAGCAAGUUCAUGUAUGUACAACAGUUCUAAUUGCUUCUUUUAGAGAAGUCCCAGUUGUACGAAGCUACACUGUGAAUUCUCAUCUUACUAAAUUUUUCAUUCAACUUCUCCAUUUUGGACUGUAUAUUUUCAUUACUAUCUCUUCUACCUUAUUUUAGCGAUUUUAAUCAGCUGCGAUGGCGUUCAACAACUCUUUAUGUUUUUAGUCUUUUUAUUUACUAGCAUUGUGUUAUGCUUUGAGAUUCAAAGAACCACAGACGCACUGUGAGACUAUUAUGCCCAAGUUAGCCAAGAGCCUAAGACAUACUAAAAACAUUUUUUAGAUAAGAUAGUUAUGAAAAAAGAGACUUUGUUAAUCGGUACUGAAAUGCAUAACAUUGAUGCUAGAAUCUUAUUUUUCGCUGUAUAUAAUAUCAACAACAUGAUUUUUUCCGGGUCAUAGAUUGCUUGGAAAAAUGCAACAUUGAUAUGCUAGAAUCCUGAGGAGAUUAUGGCCGGUGAUGGAGAUUAUUUUGUAUGCUCAUGGUGCCGUGGCGACUGCACGGCGGAGGGCUGCACGCUUGACUUCGACAUCAGCGUCUUCAACAAGGAGAAGAUCUCCCUCGCCAGCCAUGACGAGUAUAUGGUGGCGGGCGGGUGCAACCUCUUCCCAUUGCUCCCGGAGGCGUCAAGGGUGUCAUGUCCUUUGUCGUGAUCGGAUGGGGCUCCCAGGUUCAGUCCCAUCUUCGCUUUGCUCCCUCAUUGCGCAGUUUCUCUCCUAUCUGUAGAGAUAUGUCUCUCUACUGCUAUUCUACUGAAUAUUAUUCUUGGAGUAUCAUAGCCAAUUGCUUUACUGGUGAACAUGUGUAGGAGGAUUUGUGGUUUAGCAUUAUUAGACCUCUGUGAAUACAUGUAUAGGAGGAUUCUUGGAGCUUUGUACAAUCAGUAAGGCCAUCAAAGCUAAUUCCUUUACUGGUGAACAUGUAUAGGAGGAUUCAUUAUUAGACCUCUCUACAUAACUACAUAUACAUGUUUGCUCUGUGCUACAAAAAAAGACUCUCCUUUGGUGGUGAGAAUAAAAAGGAAUAAAUUUACUAUUCGGAAUAAAA